rnacentral:lncRNA from 14 species
CAACCACCUGCGCUCCAGGAGUGUGCUCUGCCCUUGAUUUUGCAAGACAGUUCAUAGGAGCAAGCAGGCCAGACCACUCCACUGAGAGAAAUGAGAUGCCUCAGCCCAGCACUGCAUUGCCCAAGGCACCAGUAGCUUCUGCCUGCAUCCAAGUAGCUGCCUGCAGAACUCCAGCAGGACUCUGCAGAGGCUGUCUUCAGGGGACUAAGGAAACAAAACACCCAUAUGAUUCUUUAGGCUAA